rnacentral:rRNA from 1 species
CAGCAGCCACGGGAAUACAGAGGGUGCGAGCGUUAAUCGGAUUUACUGGGCGUAAAGCGUGCGUAGGCGGCUUCUUAAGUCGGAUGUGAAAUCCCUGAGCUUAACUUAGGAAUUGCAUUCGAUACUGGGAAGCUAGAGUAUGGGAGAGGAUGGUAGAAUUCCAGGUGUAGCGGUGAAAUGCGUAGAGAUCUGGAGGAAUACCGAUGGCGAAGGCAGCCAUCUGGCCUAAUACUGACGCUGAGGUACGAAAGCAUGGGGAGCAAACAGGAUUAGAUACCCCGGUAGUCCCUGUCUCUUAUAA